rnacentral:rRNA from 1 species
CGAUUGAGUUUGAUCCUGGCUCAGGACGAACGCUGGCGGCGGGCCUAACACAUGCAAGUCGAAGGAGAAGGGUUGUGCUUGCACAACCUGGAGACUGGCGCACGGGUGAGUAACGCGUAGAUAAUCUGCCUAUAGCAGGGGGAUAACCACCGGAAACGGUGGCUAAUACCGCAUAAUGCAGCAGGGCCGCAUGGCCACAGUUGUUAAAGAUGCAAGUCGGCUAUAGAUGAGUCUGCGUGCUAUUAGUUAGUUGGUAAGGUAACGGCUUACCAAGACGAUGAUAGCUAGGGGGUCUGAGAGGAUGAUCCCCCACACUGGAACUGAGACACGGUCCAGACUCCUACGGGAGGCAGCAGUGAGGAAUCUUGCGCAAUGGGCGAAAGCCUGACGCAGCCACGCCGCGUGCCGGAAGACGGCCCUAUGGGUUGUAAACGGCUUUUGGUUGGGAAGAACAGGUGGGAUUUGUCCUGCUUUGACGGUACCAAUUGAAUCAGCACCGGCUAACUCCGUGCCAGCAGCCGCGGUAAUACGGAGGGUGCAAGCGUUGUCCGGAAUCAUUGGGUGUAAAGGGUGCGUAGGCUGGCUUUUAAGUCUGUGGUGAAAUCUUGCCGCUUAACGGUAAAAUGGCCAUGGAUACUGGGAGUCUUGAAUCUGACAGAGGUCGGUGGAAUUCGUAGUGUAGCGGUGAAAUGCAUAGAUA